CGGCCUUCUGCACAUAAGUCGGAACCACCUAAUGUAGUCUGUACGACUUAAUGGUUAAUAUUACGCUCUAGUGCUUUUCUCAUCAAUCAUCUGUACACAUAAUCUAAGGUCACCCACCAGUCGAAAUCUCACUAACACUCUACGACUGGCCCGUCGCACCCACUCCGCGUGGACUGUGCGACCAGCAUCUACUUGGAUCCAAGGCGAGCGUGCGAUGCGGUGAAUACUAUAAGCACUAAACCAUGGUGCAGGAUAUGAGCUCAAUAUAUAUCAUCAUCAUCAUAACAGUAAUUAAAUACUCACCUGAUACUCACCUGUGCGUCCACAGCACCAUAUUACAUAUAUGCAUCAUACGACAGUUCAUAAUAUUCAUAACAUUCUAUGCAUGGCAAUCAAAUCAUAUUUCAUUUCAUUUCAAUAUACUUUUCAUUUAAUUUUGAUUUCUGGGGAAAUCGAGUAUAUAGGUAUAUAUAUAAAAACAAAUGCCCACUCACUGGUAUGUCGCCGGGUCGUAACCCCCUUGACGCCCCUGGAUGUGCUCGUCCUCGUUAUAAGUCCCACCUAGAAGUGAAAUAACUAAAAACGUCAUUUAACGCACAAUUAACGCACCUAAACCAAACUAGGUAAUUAAUUCUUCAUAUGAUACUCAAAUUGGGUAUAUGAAUAUACCACGGUGACCUACACAAUCUCAGGAUCAUCCCCAUAUUUUUAAAAUAAUUUUUGGACCCUUCACGCGCCCCCACGCGCCUGAAAUGGCACAGACCUACGCGCCCCCCACGCGCGGCCACGUGACAUGCAUGCUGACAGCACAGUAACGGCAGUUAGGAAUAUUCCCGGAAUAUUCCGUUAAAAACUAACGGUUUCCGUUAAAGUUAACUAACGGCGUUAGCAUAUUCCGUUAAGAAUAACGGAAUAUGCCGUCGUCUUCUCCGAUUCACCCUCGCCGGACUCCGGUCACCGGAAAACUGGGAAAAAUUUCUAAUUAACUAUUCUCACUCGUUUUUCGUCCAUUUUUCUCGAAUUUUAUACCAGAUUGAAGCAUUUAACAUGUACAAUCACGUUGGAAGGGUUUUAAACACUAAAAAUCACGGGAUCAUACCUUCCAAAAAUUCCAAAAAUCGGCCAAACGUCGAACUCAACGAUCCCGACGUCCAAAACUUCCAAACGUUACACUCCGAGCAUCCUUGGAACUUCCUAAGACUCGUUGUGAUCUUGUUUUAACCUAAAACGUAACCAUUUAAAAGAUCAUAAACAGUGUCAUUUCACGGGGCUUAAAAACUAGGGUUUUUCGAAGUGAAACUCACCUGAAUUUGGUAUCCCCGUGUUCGUGAAGUCCUCAGGAUCACGAUGGUAGUCUUAAAUUGAACGUUCGUGGAGGUUUGAUUGAGGUUGUGUGUGAGUCCGUAUGUUCGAGAGUAAGAGAGAGAGAGAGUGAAAGUCUGAAAUGGAAGAAGAAGAGAGAGAAGGAAAUGUUACGGGUUUUAGGGAAUGUUUUGAGGGUAUGAGGAUCCCACCUUAACCCAUACAAUAAUAUUAACACUUAAAAUAAAAUCUAAGCCUAAGUUCUUAAGCUACAUAACAAAAUAAUUAACCAAAAACUAUGGCUUAGAUAAGAUCCAACAUUAUUUUUACACACCUUGUCACGUUUAGGGAUAUUUUAGUACUUUCACGUCCUCGGAAUUAAAAUUCUGGGACGGGCUGUGACAAUCUCCCCUCCUUAUAGAAUUUCGUCCCCGAAAUUCUAGUCACCAACCAGCAUCAAAACUCAUAAAAUAGCCUCGGAUACAUAUCUCUCAUCCGUUUUUCUGUCUCCCAAGUAGCUUCUUCCGCUGAAUGGUUCCUCCACAAUACUUUUACCAAGUUCACAGUCUUAUUCCUCAGAGUCUUAUCUUUCCAAUCCAGAAUAGUCACUGGUUCCUCGUCGUACGUCAAAUCCGGAUUAAUUUCCAAUGGUUGAGGAGGAAUCACAUGUGAAGGAUCUGAAACAUAAUGCCGAAGCAUCGAGACAUGGAACACAUUAUGUACCUUAGACAACUCUGGAGGUAGCUCCAACCUGUAAGCAACUUCACCAAUCCUCUCAGUGAUCUCAUAAGGUCCAAUGUACCUGGGACUGAGCUUUCCUUUCUUCCCAAAUCGAACCACACCUCUCCAAGGUGAUAAUUUCAAAAAUACAUAGUCGCCCACAUUAUACAUUCUAUCCGUGGUAUGUCGAUCCGCUAGGCUCUUUUGUCUAUCCUGGGCCAUUUUCAGGUUAGUCUUAAUCACCUGAAUAUUCUGAGUAGUCUCAUCCACAAUCUCUGGGCCCUCAAGUAUUCUUUCACCGACCUCUGACCAACAUAAUGGCGUACGGCAAGCUUUUCCAUAAAGCGCUUCAAAUGGAGACAUUCCAAUACUCGAAUGAAAACUAUUAUUAUAGGCAAACUCCAUCAAAUCCAAGCGAUUAUGCCAAGAGUCACCAAAUUGCAUCACAGAGGAUCUCAACAUAUCCUCGAGUGUCUGAAUAGUUCUCUCUGACUGACCAUCUGUCUGUGGGUGAUAAGCUGUACUGUAAAGCAAUCUAGUGCCCAAAGCUUCUUGAAAAGCUGUCCAAAACUUAGAAGUGAAUCUUGGAUCUCGAUCAGAAAUAAUAUUCAUUGGAACACCAUGAUACUUUACAACCUUCGAUAUGAAUAACUUAGCCAACUUAUUUAAAGGAUACUUCUCCCUUACUGGAAUAAAAUGUGCUGAUUUGGUAAGUCGAUCUACAACCACCCAAAUGCCAUCAAAACCAUUUUGUGUACGUGGUAGCUUAUACACAAAAUCCAUCGUUAUGUUCUCCCAUUUCCACUGGGGAACAGGGAGUGGUUGCAAUCUCCCAAACGGCUUCUUUCUUUCAGCCUUAACCUGUUGGCAAACAAUACACCUACUUACAUACUCCGCAAUCUCCCUCUUCAUACCCGGCCAAUAGUAAAAUGGUCGAAUGGUAUGAUACAUUUUAGUUCCCCCUGGGUGCAUAGCAUAAGCCGAACAAUGUGCUUCAUCCAAGAUUUCUUUCUUCAGUUCCUCAUUAUUAGGCACAUACAUCCUGUUCUCUUGCAUAAGCAUACCAUCUGAUCCUCGGAUCCUGAGAUCUUUCUUCUUCCCUUCCUUUCUUAAACUAACCAAUUCUUGAAUUUCUUCAUCCCACGAUUGAGCUGCAAGCACCCGAUCAAUUAAAAUUGGCUUGACUUGAAAAUUGGCAAGAAAAGCUUCACUUUGCUCUUCCAAUUCUAACUCUACUCCAGUAGAUCUCAAAUCUGUCAGAAGAGGAACACGACUGGCAUAUAAAGCGUUAAGUCGCCCUUGAGGUUUCCUACUCAGAGCAUCAGCUACCACAUUUGCACGACCCGGAUGGUACUCAAUCGUGCAAUCAUAAUCACUUAACAAUUCCAACCAUCUUCUCUGACGAAGAUUAAGAUCAUGCUGCGUGAAAAGGUACUGAAGGCUUUUAUGAUCUGUAAAGAUCUUACAUUUCUCGCCAUAGAGAUAAUGUCUCCAAAUCUUCAAAGCAAACACAAUAGCUGCCAACUCAAGAUCGUGAGUCGGAUAGUUUCUUUCAUGAGUCUUCAACUGCCUAGAAUCAUAGGCAAUCACUCUACUAUGCUGCAUCAAAACACAACCCAAACCAUUCAAAGAAGCAUCACUGUAGAUCUCGAAGUUACCAUUAUCAUCAGGAAGUACUAACACCGGUGCAUGAGUAAGGCAAUGUUUCAAUUGCUGGAAACUUUGCUCACAACUUUCAUCCCAUUCAAACUUAACAUCCUUUCUGGUUAACUUCGUUAAUGGCAGGGCAAUCAUAGAAAAGUCUUGAACAAACCGUCUAUAAUAACUUGCCAAGCCAAGAAAACUCCGCACCUCAGUGACCGUUCGAGGUUGUUCCCAACUUUCCACUGCUGCUAUCUUUUGAGGAUCCACUUGAAUUCCCUGAGCUGAUACCACAUGUCCCAAAAAUGCCACUUGAUUCAGCCAAAACUGACAUUUACUAAACUUGGCAUAUAAUCGGUGUUCCCUCAAUUUCCUUAACACCAAGUUAAGAUGUCGAAUAUGGUCUGAUUUCGACUUAGAGUAUACCAGGAUAUCAUCAAUAAAAACAAUAACAAACCUGUCAAGAUACUCCUGGAAUACUUCAUUCAUCAAUCUCAUGAAAGCUGCAGGAGCGUUUGUCAAUCCAAAUGGCAUAACCAAAAACUCAUAAUGCCCAUAACGAGUCCUGAAAGCUGUUUUAUGAACAUCCUCCUAUUUAAUCUUUAAUUGAUAAUACCCAGAUCUCAAAUCGAUCUUAGAAAACACACAGGCACCUUUGAGCUGAUCAAACAAAUCAUCUAUACGAGGCAAGGGAUAACGGUUUUUAAUCGUUACCCGAUUCAAUUGCCUGUAAUCAAUACACAAUCUCAAAGUUCCAUCCUUCUUUCUCACAAACAACACCGGAGCUCCCCAAGGUGAAGAACUAGGCUGAAUGAAACCUUUAUCAAUUAACUCUUGCAAUUGAAUUUUCAACUCUCUUAAUUCCGCUGGUGCCAUUCUAUAAGGAGUCAAAGAGAUAGGGUUCGUACCUGGAAGCAAUUCAAUCGAAAACUCCACAUCUCUAUCUGGGGGCAAUCCAGGCAAAUCAUCUGGAAAUACAUCAGGAUAGUGUCUGACUACUCCGACUUCCUCCACACUACUGGGAGCAACAUCAUUCAAAACCACAUGUGCCAAGUAUCCCUGACAACCCUUGGAUAACAAUUUCUUCGCCCUUAUGGCUGAAAUAACACCAUGCCUCACCCCACUUCUUUCACCCACAAAUGUAACUUCGGGUAGUCCAGGACGAAGAAAAGUAACUGAUUUCCCGUAACAAUCUAUAUGGGCGCGAUUAUAAUGCAACCAAUCCGCCCCUAAAAUCACAUCAAAAUCCACGAUGUCUAACGGGAUAAGAUUAGCAGGCAUAAUGACAUUAUCUACCAUCACUGGACACCCAGAGUAAAAACUAUCAACAUAACAUUUAUCCCCUCUAGGCAUAGCAAACUCUAAAUCAAACCCUAGAGGUGAAGGAUGAGGUUGUGUCAUUUGAGCAAAUGUAUGAGAAAUCACAGAGUGUGUAGCACCACAAUCAAUCAAAACUCUAGCAAAAUGACCAAGAACAUUCAACGUACCCAUAAUCAAGUCUGGAUGGUUCUGAGCAUCUUGCAGCGAUAUGUGGUUAACACGUCCCUGAGCUGGCUGUCGUCCUCCACGACCUCUGCCACUCUGGUUACCUCGUCCCUGAUGAGUACGUCCUUGACCUGCCUGGGCAGGCGGCCUAGACGGCCCUGCACUACUAGCAGCAACUCCGCUCUGUUGGGGCUGACCCCCCUGAUACCACUGAGAUCCGCUAGCUGGCAUAGACGGAUAUGAAGUAUAACCUCCUUGAUCCUGAGAAUAUCCACUCUGAAAAUAAGGAUCCUGGGAAUAGUGAUACUGUCCCAGAGCAUAAGGAGCAGCAUCACCCUGAUAUUGAUAAGCACCACCACGACCAACCUGGCCAUAACUGCCUGAAUUAAAGUUCUGUUGAGUCGGUACUGGUGUUGGCAUAACAGGUUGCUGGGGCCUCUGCUGAUUCUGGGGACAAUACAUAGCUCUAUGUCCUGUCUGACCACAUGUAAAGCAUGCACCACUGAGUCUCCUACAUUCCCCAUGAUGUCGGAAAUUACAACGGCGACAUAACGGAGGACUCGAACUACCAACACCACCAAAGCCUCUCUGACCAGAAAAUCUAGGUCCAUUACCAAACCUACCACCUCCUCUCCUCGGACCUGUGGCACUAAAUCCACCACUGGAAGAACUCGAACUCAUUCCACUUUUCUUGAAAUUCUGCGUCUGACGAGGUCCUGGAAUGGAAAUACUCUUACCUUUAUCAUUUUUCUUCUGACCAUCACCCUUAUCCUCGUCAUCCCCACUGUCCGGAAGAUUAUCAGAGUCUUCCAUCCGGACCAGAAUCUCAAAAUACUCAUGAUAAUCGGCACAGGGAAGUGCAUUGGCAAACGUUCUGUACUUCUUCUUAGAUCCUAACUUGAAACGACGAAGCAUUUCUGCUUGAUUACCCGCUAAAUCAGAAUCAUAACGGGAUAAAUCAGUAAACUUCCUGUAGUACUCAUGUGCAGACAUAUUUCUCUGCUUCAGCCUGGUGAAUUCCUGUUUCUUGCGAUCUAUAUAUUCCGGAGGAACAAAUCUCUUCAUAAAAUUUUCCUUAAAUACCUCCCAUUCGGCUGCCCUUUCAGGUGCCAUGUGCCUCGACUGAUUUAUCCACCACGCCGCUGGCUCACGGCCCAAAAACCAGGUGGUGGUCUCCACUUAUCUAUUAGCUGGCAGGUUUCCCUGACUUUGCAUCACUUGAAAGGUCUGCUCAAUCCGAUCCAACCACUUUUCUGCCACCUCAUAACCUUCAUUUCCCUCAAAGGUUUCCAAUUUCAGAUUAUACAUCGUCUCUACGGGCGUUCUCUGAGGAGGACGGAUAUUAGCCUGAAAAGCCUGAGCCAGUGCUUCCCCUAACUGGGCUAUAUCGGGGAAAUUAGGCUCAGCAGCACGGCGAUGAUCUUUACGAGGCGGCAUAAUUCUGACAGAAAACAUCAAAAAAUCAAUAGAAGAACUCAUUAGUUAUACAGGACUGCAACCUAUGCUCUGAUACCAAACUGACACACCCUAACCCGAAGACUAGGACGUGCUGGCCGUCACGUGAGCGUGACGUAACCAUAAACGCAAGCGGAAACGAUUAAAUAAUAAAAUACGAGUCAACGAAAACCACUAAUUGCAGUUAUUUACAACCUAGCAUUCUAUGUGCAUAAGAGUGUACUAAACACACAUGAACAGAGCAUAAGCGUCUAGGUGCAGUCAAGUAGGACCAUAACUAAUUUACAACACCCUCGGGUGAAUCCUACAUUUAUUUAGACUGUCAGAACGCCGAAGUAGUCCUCGUAGGCCACCAACACCUCAACUAUCAACUAGAACCUGGAGGGGGCGAAAAACAGAAAACGUGAGUGGGCGAAAAUAAAGCUUUUCCAAAUCAUUUCAUAAAUCCACAUUUAUAACCCCUUUUUGAAAACCUGUAUACUUUCCCAGAAAAUAGUAUAUAGCAUAUAUAAAUCUCAACCAUCUCGAUCAUCAAUCUUAUAACAGAUUCAAUAAAGAAUGUACCAUGCCAAAUUCAACAGUUUAGUAUGAAUGCAUUGACAUAAUAUAAAUCAGGUAAAAGAAAGUAAUCAAUCGGAGGCCCUCUAAUGGCCCUGAACGAUUGAACCUAGAGCUCAAAAUCUAUCACUCUCACUCUGCCGGAGUCACCUCUGUGACCUGUCCGGCCUUCUGCACAUAAGUCGGAACCACCUAAUGUAGUCUGUACGACUUAAUGGUUAAUAUUACGCUCUAGUGCUUUUCUCAUCAAUCAUCUGUACACAUAAUCUAAGGUCACCCACCAGUCGAAAUCUCACUAACACUCUACGACUGGCCCAUCGCACCCACUCCGCGUGGACUGUGCGACUAGCAUCUACUUGGAUCCAAGGCGAGCGUGCGAUGCGGUGAAUACUAUAAGCACUAAACCAUGGUGCAGGAUAUGAGCUCAAUAUAUAUCAUCAUCAUCAUAACAGUAAUUAAAUACUCACCUGAUACUCACCUGUGCGUCCACAGCACCAUCUUACAUAUAUGCAUCAUACGACAGUUCAUAAUAUUCAUAACAUUCUAUGCAUGGCAAUCAAAUCAUAUUUCAUUUCAUUUCAAUAUACUUUUCAUUUAAUUUUGAUUUCUGGGGAAAUCGAGUAUAUAUGUAUAUAUAUAAAAACAAAUGCCCACUCACUGGUAUGUCGCCGGGUCGUAACCCCCUUGACGCCCCUGGAUGUGCUCGUCCUCGUUAUAAGUCCCACCUAGAAGUGAAAUAACUAAAAACGUCAUUU
rnacentral:lncRNA from 1 species